ensembl:miRNA
CAGUCUGGCAGUAUACAUCUAUAAUACCAGCAGUGGAGAUGUUGAGGGGGAGAAUCUCAUGUUUGAGACAAGCCUGAGUGCUGUGUAGU